AGAAUCAACGCUGGCGGCGUGCCUAACACAUGCAAGUCGCACGAGAAAGGGGAGCAAUCCCUGAGUACAGUGGCGCACGGGUGAGUAACACGUGAAUGAUCUACCUCCGAGUGGGGGAAUAACUGAGAGAAAUCUUAGCUAAUACCGCAUAAUACCCACGGGUCAAAGCAGCAAUGCGCUUGGAGAGGAGUUCGCGGCAGAUUAGUUAGUUGGCGGGGUAAUGGCCCACCAAGACGAUGAUCUGUAUCCGGCCUGAGAGGGCGCACGGACACACUGGAACUGAAACACGGUCCAGACUCCUACGGGAGGCAGCAGUGGGGAAUUUUGCGCAAUGGGGGAAACCCUGACGCAGCAACGCCGCGUGGAGGAUGAAGCCCCUUGGGGUGUAAACUCCUUUCGAUCGGGAAGAUAAUGACGGUACCGAUAUAAGAAGCCCCGGCUAACUUCGUGCCAGCAGCCGC
rnacentral:rRNA from 1 species